GUUUCUACCAACGUUUGAACGUCUUGCCGGCCGUGGCUUUUCUCUUUUGAGUUAUCUGAUUCAAGGUUACCGAAUUGCGGAAUGACGUAACGUAAUCAGGCCUAUCGUCUACUCGUCAUAAAAGCCAAUAACGGAUAUCUUCAUAGCGCAACCUCUGUGACAUCUUCUAUUGUUGAUGACUAAUCUCGUAGCUCUCGGAAUCUGUUGCGUAAGUCUUUCGCCAUUGGGGAAAUCGCGUGUACUGCCAAGGCUGGCUAAAACUGAUGGAAGUUAUAGGAAAUGACGAAGAAGUGUUGAAAUGCAGCAUAGCUGGUGCGUCAACGAUGCCGCCGAUUCUGGUCAUAUCGAAGCGGAAGGUGAUGAACGCAACAGAAAGAGUGUUACUUUCGAUUUGGUGGAAAUGCCGAGCUGCCAUAGCGGAACAUGGCGACUACAUAAGAGCUGGCCAUUUCGUUGUGGCGGUGCAGUCUCGCGGCAUCUUUCCCUAUUGUAGGUAAACUGUGUCCUUUACUAGGAUAAAUCGGAUGCAGUCCACACGCCGUAUGAACUAUAACCAGUAACGCUGGUUAUAGUUCGUGCGGGCACAACUUUACGAAGGAGAAACGGGCCAAUCAAGGACGAAACGCAAUGCCAGAAGAUGUCAGAGAUACGCGUUUUGGAUAAUCGAAUAGAAUAUGCAGAACGUGUUACCGUGCGGAGGCAUAAGAGAUAAAGCUGAAUUAGAUGUUCGAAUCGAUACCGACGACGUUUUCCUUAUACCGCUCCCAAAACAGGAUCACAAAAAUGUGCCUAUUGCCCGAGCCUAGCGAUAGAAUAUAUUUUACGUCUGGGAUAGAUCGAAAAUGUUGGUAAGUCAUUUUCGUUGACGGACAAAAUGUUGCUUUCUGAUCGAUAUUCAGACUCGUUGCGGGUCUGCUCUGGCCUGAUCCCUGAUCAUAAUCAUGUCAUUUUGACACGGAGUUACUAUACUGCAAUCGAAAAACAGUUGCCAACCCCUCGCCACGAAGGAACAGCUAUUAAAUUUUAACUAUUAAUAGUGGUAUUCGAAAAUAUCAGUUAGAACCUAUGUUGUACAUAGAACACGUUCAGGGGCCCGACGGAGACAUCGUAACGUUGGCUUGUCAUUUCUAUAACUUCAAUUGCGGUGAACGUGUAUAG
rnacentral:lncRNA from 1 species